rnacentral:rRNA from 1 species
GAUGAACGCUAGCUACAGGCUUAACACAUGCAAGUCGAGGGGCAGCAUGGUCUUAGCUUGCUAAGGCCGAUGGCGACCGGCGCACGGGUGAGUAACACGUAUCCAACCUGCCGUCUACUCUUGGACAGCCUUCUGAAAGGAAGAUUAAUACAAGAUGGCAUCAUGAGUCCGCAUGUUCACAUGAUUAAAGGUAUUCCGGUAGACGAUGGGGAUGCGUUCCAUUAGAUAGUAGGCGGGGUAACGGCCCACCUAGUCUUCGAUGGAUAGGGGUUCUGAGAGGGAAGGUCCCCCACAUUGGAACUGAGACACGGCCCAGACUCCUACGGGAGGCAGCAGUGGGGAAUAUUGGGCAAUGGACGCAAGUCUGACCCAGCAACGCCGCGUGAAGGAGAAGGCUUUCGGGUUGUAAACUUCUUUUGUCAGGGAAGAGUAGAAGACGGUACCCUGACGAAUAAGCCACGGCUAACUACGUGCCAGCAGCCGCAGUAAG